GAUGAACGCUGGCGGCGUGCCUAAUACAUGCAAGUCGAGCGAAUCGGGGACGGGUGAGUAACACGUGGAUAACCUCCUAUAAGACUGGGAUAACUUCGGGAAACCGGAGCUAUAUCGGAAACUUAUAGAUGGAUCCCCGCUGCAGUAGCUAGUUGGUAAGGUAACGGCUUACCAAGGCAACGAUGAAUAGCCGACCUGAGAGGGUGAUCGGCCACACUGGGACUGAGACACGGUCCAGACUCCUACGGGAGGCAGCAGUGGGGAAUCUUCCGCAAUGGGCGAAAGCCUGACAGAGCAACGCCGCGUGAGUGAUGAAGGCCUUCGGUUCGUAAAGCUCUGUUAGUAGGGAAGCGGUACCUACUCAGAAAGCAACGGCUAACUACGUGCCAGCAGCCGCGGUAAUAC
rnacentral:rRNA from 1 species